UACUUGGGAAGAUAAAAUCUAGGAGUGGAAAUGAAGGCAUCUCCUCUACCAUGGACUUUAUUUCUUCCAGUAUUGAGCCCCAACAUUGGCGCUGCUGCUGCUUACUACAAGCUUUGGAGGUUACUGGUUGUUAAGAGUCCUGUGGUGCAGCAACAGUGAAGAUCAGAUUCCCAUCAUGCACCUCCCUGAUGGACAGAACAGAGAGAACCCAAGGGGAAGCUUUGUCCACAGUGUUCCUGUGAAUCACCUUUGCACGGCUACCUUAGCUUGGACAGUCCAGUUAUCUUGUCCUUCUCUACAAAGAAGUUUUGUUGCCAAGAUUUACUCUGAAAAUGACCUGCACUACUGA
rnacentral:lncRNA from 1 species